UACGUAGGUGGCAAGCGUUGUCCGGAUUUAUUGGGUUUAAAGGGUGCGUAGGCGGUCAAGUAAGUCAGCGGUGAAAUCCGGCAGCUCAACUGUCGAUGUGCCAUUGAUACUGCAUGACUUGAGUACUGAUGAGGUAGGCGGAAUUGACGGUGUAGCGGUGAAAUGCUUAGAUAUCGUCAAGAACACCGAUAGCGAAGGCAGCUUACUAAGCAGUAACUGACGCUGAUGCACGAAAGUGUGGGGGAUCAAACAGG
rnacentral:rRNA from 1 species